UUGGCUCAGGAUGAACGCUAGCGGCAGGCUUAACACAUGCAAGUCGAGGGGUAUAGCACUUCGGUGCUAGAGACCGGCGCACGGGUGCGUAACGCGUAUGCAAUCUGCCUUUCACAGAGGGAUAGCCCAGAGAAAUUUGGAUUAAUACCUCAUAGUAUAAUGACCUGGCAUCAGGAUAUUAUUAAAGUCACAACGGUGAAAGAUGAGCAUGCGUCCCAUUAGCUGGUUGGUAAGGUAACGGCUUACCAAGGCUACGAUGGGUAGGGGUCCUGAGAGGGAGAUCCCCCACACUGGUACUGAGACACGGACCAGACUCCUACGGGAGGCAGCAGUGAGGAAUAUUGGACAAUGGGCGCAAGCCUGAUCCAGCCAUGCCGCGUGCAGGAUGACGGUCCUAUGGAUUGUAAACUGCUUUUGUACGAGAAGAAACACUCCAACGUGUUGGAGCUUGACGGUAUCGUAAGAAUAAGGAUCGGCUAACUCCGUA
rnacentral:rRNA from 1 species